UAAUACGGAGGGUGCAAGCGUUAUCCGGAUUCACUGGGUUUAAAGGGUGCGUAGGUUGAUGGGGAAGUCAGUGGUGAAAUACUCCGACUCAAUCGGAGAACUGCCGUUGAUACUAUCCAUCUUGAAUACGGUGGAGGCGGGCGGAAUGCGUCAUGUAGUGGUGAAAUACUUAGAUAUGACGCAGAACACCUAUUGCGAAGGCAGCUCGCUACACCGGCAUUGACACUGAGGCACGAAAGCGUGGGGAUCAAACAGGAUUAGAUACCCUGGUAGUCCACGCCCUAAACGAUGUUCACUCGAUCUCGGCGAUACACAGUCGGGGUCUAUGCAAAAGCAUUAAGUGAACCACCUGGGGAGUACGAUCGCAAGAUUG
rnacentral:rRNA from 1 species